UACGGAGGUUGCAAGCGUUGUUCGGAAUUACUGGGCGUAAAGCGCGUGUAGGCGGACCGAUAAGUUGGGAGUGAAAGCCCUGGGCUCAACCCAGGAAGUGCUUCCAAUACUGCCGGUCUUGAGUUCCGGAGAGGGUGGUGGAAUUCCCGGUGUAGAGGUGAAAUUCGUAGAUAUCGGGAGGAACACAAGUGGCGAAGGCGACCACCUGGACGAGAACUGACGCUGAGACGCGAAAGCGUGGGGAGCAAACAGG
rnacentral:rRNA from 1 species